AGACUGCCGGUAAUAAACCGGAGGAAGGUGGGGAUGACGUCAAAUCAUCAUGCCCCUUAUGACCUGGGCUACACACGUGCUACAAUGGUUGGUACAACGAGUUGCGAGUCGGUGACGGCGAGCUAAUCUCUUAAAGCCAAUCUCAGUUCGGAUUGUAGGCUGCAACUCGCCUACAUGAAGUCGGAAUCGCUAGUAAUCGCGGAUCAGCACGCCGCGGUGAAUACGUUCCCGGGCCUU
rnacentral:rRNA from 1 species